AGAGUUGAUCAUGGCUCAGGACGAACGCUGGCGGCGUGCCUAACACAUGCAAGUCGAACGGAGUUAUUAUGGAAGCUCUUCGGAACGGAAGUUUUAACUAGUGGCGGACGGGUGAGUAACGCGUGAGUAACCUGCCUUUCAGAGGGGGAUAACGUCUGGAAACGGACGCUAAUACCGCAUAACAUAUUUGAGUCGCAUGGCUUAGAUAUCAAAGGAGUAAUCCGCUGAAAGAUGGACUCGCGUCUGAUUAGAUAGUUGGUGGGGUAACGGCCUACCAAGUCAACGAUCAGUAGCCGGACUGAGAGGUUGAACGGCCACAUUGGGACUGAGACACGGCCCAGACUCCUACGGGAGGCAGCAGUGGGGGAUAUUGCACAAUGGGCGCAAGCCCUGAUGCAGCAACGCCGCGUGAGGGAAGACGGUUUUCGGAUUGUAAACCUCUGUCUUUGGUGAAGAAACAAAUGACGGUAACCAAGGAGGAAGCCACGGCUAACUACGUGCCAGCCGCUGC
rnacentral:rRNA from 1 species